GACGAACGCUGGCGGCGUGCUUAACACAUGCAAGUCGAACGCUGAAGCUCAGCUUUUGUUGAGUGGAUGAGUGGCGAACGGGUGAGUAACACGUGAGUAACCUGCCCCCUUCUUUGGGAUAACGCCCGGAAACGGGUGCUAAUACUGGAUAUUCACUGGUCUUCGCAUGGGGGUUGGUGGAAAGGGUUUUUCUGGUGGGGGAUGGGCUCGCGGCCUAUCAGCUUGUUGGUGGGGUGAUGGCCUACCAAGGCUUUGACGGGUAGCCGGCCUGAGAGGGUGACCGGUCACAUUGGGACUGAGAUACGGCCCAGACUCCUACGGGAGGCAGCAGUGGGGAAUAUUGCACAAUGGGCGCAAGCCUGAUGCAGCGACGCCGCGUGAGGGAUGGAGGCCUUCGGGUUGUGAACCUCUUUCGCUCAUGGUCAAGCCGCAACAAUGGUUGUGGUGAGGGUAGUGGGUAAAGAAGCGCCGGCUAACUACGUG
rnacentral:rRNA from 1 species